GGGGGUUGCCUAGAGGGUUCACGCACAGAAGGGCGGAUUCAAUUUUUUCGGGGUCGAGGGCACUGUUCAUCCUCCAGUCGCUCACUUUUCUCCAUCCCUCCUCUCCAGUCCCUCACACUCUCUCUUAACCUCCAUACGCUGCUCCACUCUCCACAGCUCUCCCUCUCGUUUCCGGCCACCCAACGCCUCUACAGUCAUCGUCGCCGUCGCCUAAGGCCACCCACGGCCAUAGCACCGCCCACAGAUCCCUUGGAUCCGCGCAACCCAGCUCAACCGUAGGCUCUCUCUAUCUCCAUCUUCUCCCUCGCACCAUUGCUCAAAUCGGCCACCAUCACCACCCCGUUCCAUCACCGGCCACGUACCAGCGAGCAACCGCCAUCCCAGCAAACUCCACUCGCCCAAUCACCAGCUACCCACAGCAGCGAACCAGCAGCGGCUCUCCUUCAUGGCCAGCAGCCACACCAGCCGCAGCCCCGACCACCUCUCAUCUCUCUCACAACUCUCUCUCUCUCUCUCUCUCUCUCUAGCAACCGUUUUCGUAGACCCUCCAAUUGAAACCCCUCUCACGUCGGCAUCACGACGCCCUAUGAAUCAUCCUCCACCACCUUCGGCAGAUCCCAUUUCCUCCAGUUCUCUCCCUUCUCUCGGACCUCCUCAUUCUCCCUUCGGCAUCUUCCCCCGAGCUCCACCAGAUCCUGACCUCACUCACGGCACCCAGCAGUAGCUACCAUCUCCGGACCCUCACGACGGCUUCAUCUACGUCAGCCACGGCCACCCGCCUCGGCCAAGGUCGCCUCACAACACCCAACAUCUCUACUAUUCACGCACAACUUUUUUCCACCCACUCGACAUUAGAGUGAAUGUCAUACUCCGGAAUUGAGGGGGACGAUUGGAUUCGCAACUGUGGCUGUGGUUCAGAGGAACUUCUUGGCUUUAAUCGGGUCAGUGCUUGGGAUAGUAAGGGAUGGCAUUUCUUGUUCAGACGAGUUGAAGAAGGUGCACAUAGGUACUCAUCAACCUAGUCCACCCCCGAUGCAACAGUCGUUGUCGCAGGAGUUGUUGUUGGGCCCAAGCGAGGAUAAAAUUAAAGAAUUCCGCACCAUAUGCCACAUUAUUAAUAUUUUGGCCUUCAUCAAUCAUUCGACUUAAAUAAUUCUACCAUUUUAACAUAGCUAUGAAAUCACAAUAUGUUAAAGUUGGUAGAGUCGAUCAAAUAGAUUUAUAAUGAGCAUUCUCUGCAAUAGAAGUUCGAACUUUUUGUUGUAGUUUUCAAAUUCGAACUAUGAAGAAUAAAAAAAUGUAAUGGGAUAGAAGAUGAGCUGCCUUUAAGCUUCUAGCUCAUGUAAUAAAUGGAUUUUGAAUUCAAA